rnacentral:rRNA from 1 species
UACGUAGGGUGCGAGCGUUAUUCGGAAUUACUGGGCGUAAAGCGUGCGCAGGCGGUUUUGCAAGACAGAUGUGAAAUCCCCGGGCUUAACCUUGGAACUGCCUUUGUGACUGCAAGGCUAGAGUACGGGAGAGGGGGGUAGAAUUCCGCGUGUAGCAGUGAAAUGCGUAGAUAUGUGGAGGAAUACCGAUGGCGAAGGCAGCUCCCUGGGUCGAUACUGACGCUGAUGCGCGAAAGCGUGGGGAGCAAACAGG